AUGGGCUCCACUUCAUGUUUUUGCCUUGAAUUUCUCUCCUGAUUUCCCUCAGUGGUAGAUUGUGACCUGAAAUAGGAAAUGAAGUCACUUAUGGUGGUUUAAAUGGUUGAAUGUCACUCCUAGGCUCAGGCAUUUGAACUCUCAGUCCCCAGUUGUGGUACUGUUUGGAGAGGUUAUAGGGAGGUGUGGCCAAGCUGGAAGAAGUGCACUACUGAAGGUUCCUGUGUUCAGGUAAAAUGUGAUCUGUCUGCUUUCUGACUAGCAGAUCUGCCUUAAAGUCCUGCUGUCCUGCCUUCUUCUCCAUGAUGAACUACACCCUGAAAUUACCCAUUAUCUAGGGUAAUCUUAUAUAUCCCUUCUGGAACUGCAAGCAACAAUAAACCCUUUUCUCUUCUAAGUGGAUGCUGCUCAUGUAAUGAAAAUUUGAGCUGUAGCCAUGUGCCACACUGUGUGCCACAUUUCCUCCCAGCCAUUCAGUGAGGUCAGAUGACAUCGUGAGAGUCUUCCUCAAAGCAUAGAAACAACAAAGCCAACACAGUGCUCACAUGACUGGUGUCAGACAGGUCCUGGAAGCUUUCAGCUCUAAAGGGUUGAGUUCACCAUCGUGCAAAACAAACUAUGGGCUGAGCCUUCAGAGCAAGCUGCUCAACAAGACCCCAGCCAGG